AUGGCGUGGCCCUGCAUCAGCCGCUUAUGCUGCCUGGCGCGGCGCUGGAACCAGCUGGACCGCUCCGACGUGGCAGUGCCGCUCACCCUGCACAGCUACUCGGACCUCGAGAGCGAGGAGCCCGGUGCAGGCGGCGCCGCUUCCCGCAGGGGCCCGUCUCCUGCAGGCACCCGGGACCCCGGCCGGGACGUGCCGCUCACUCAGUACCAGCGGGACUUCGGCGCGUGGACGGCCCCCGCGGGGCCCAGGGAUGCUCCGCAGGGGCGUGGGUCAGGUGUGGGCGGCCGCAGGAACAAGCCCCCCACGGCCCCUGGCCGGGGUGUCUACGUGCUCCCUAUCGGCGACGCGGACUCGGCUGUGGUGACCACGUCGUACAGACAGGAGUUCCAGGCCUGGACCGGAGUGAAGCCGCCAAGAUCCACAAAGGCAAGACCCACCACAGUCAUCACAACCCACAGCUCCAGAUGGGACAGCAGCCCCGGGGGGGGCUUCCAGGCCCCCGAGGGGAAGAAGAAGUUCACCCCUAACCCAUCAGCCAUCUUUCAGGCUUCAGCUCCCCGGAUCCUCAAUGUGUAACUGGCCACACUGGUGCCAAGAUGGGCCUGUCUUCGGCCACUCAGGGACUGGGUGAGAUCCUGGGAUGGCCCCUCUGCUGUGUGGGGCAAGGCCCCUAUUUCUUACUGCGGGCACCACUCCUCCCCGGCUGCCACCGGGCUGUGGGGCCUGGCACGGAUGGACACGGUAGCACCCAACUCAGCUUUGGGCCUCAAUCAUCCUCUUUUUCCUUGAGAAGUGUACAGAAGGCUUCAGAUCUUUUAAUUGCCUCUUUUGGCCUUCCUUCAGUUUUUAAAUCUGAAGAACUUAAGGAUCAAUUCUGUUGUAAACAGAAUUGGUCUGUGCGGGCUGAGGAACACAGAUAUAACAGUUGACAACUAGAAGGGACCACCAUACAUACUGGCAAAGAACUGGGAGCAUUUUUUGGGACGAAGUGGCAUUAGCCUCAUUCUCUGAAAGACUUUAACAUGUUAUCUACACCUAGAUGACUCCCACCCGGCUCUCUCACUUACAUUUGGGGGAGCUCACUGUGAGGAGGCAGCUGUCGGCUUUGGAAAGCUGCCUCCUUUGCCGGUAAGUCCCAGCCCACGUGGCCACGCAGAGCGAGCCUGGCCCAGUUUGCACAGCCGGCGGUCAAACAUUCGAAGGCAUUUCUGUCCGCUCUUGGGAGAUUAGAGGCACAGGCUAAGGACAGUUCUUGGUAAGGAAACUCCAGGAUUUCCCUGUGGGUCUUCCUCCCUCUCCAGCCCCCACGCACUGUGUCUGGUGAGCAUUUAGUUAAGCCACAGCCGCGGACCUCCUGUUUCCCAGCCCCUCAGACGACUUGGAGCGGGGCUGGUCCCUCAGAGGGAGGGCUGGCUCUGGCUGGCACAGCCUUCCUCUUAAGUGCAGCAAAGGAAAUGCUCUGAAUCAUUCUAAAGGCAGAACCAAAACCAUAUGCUUACACAAAGGGUUCUAUUAUUUCCGACUUCAUUGGUUUGCAUGUUAGACGUUUCUAAGAGAAAAGAGACUGCCUGCUGCUGUGCAUUCUGUGGGAAAUGAACAGAUUAACCGUACAAUCUCAGAUUUUACUAAAAUGCAAAAAUGUACUGUUACAAUUUCUUGUUAGCUUAUUUCUUUAAUUAUAAACCUGGAGCGCCUUCUCAUAUGUCUUUAUCAUCCUCUUGGACUUUGGCGGAUUGUGGCUAUGACUGGUUGCCCCUUGAAGGCUGACAAAUCCCAAGGGCUCUCCGUUUGGACUGCCAUCCACAGUGGUGUCUUACACGGUAUUCACAGGACACACCAACCUCCCCUCUUUCAUGUGCACCACCCUCUGCACCCCUGAAGCUAGGGUGAAAAAGCUAGUCUUAGGCUAACUCCUGACUUCUACUCACUGUGAGCAGCUUCCAUUUCCUUAUCUGCAGAGUAAGAGAACACCCCUACCUUGCUAGUAGGAGUUUCUGUUUAUGGGCAGUGUGCUUAUUAGUAUAGUGAAUGGCCAGCAAAGUACAAACAUGACAAUUGUGCAGACAUGACAAUGGUCCUUUCCUGCCCAGGCCCGCCUCCUUCUCAGGGAGCUGGCUCUAUUCUCCCUUGCAGGUUUGGCCCAUCUGAAGCCACUGACACAGUCUUUCUCCCUAGACCCUGCUUGUGUCCCCCUUCUCUCCCUGAGAGCCUGCAGACCAGACCGAAAGGCUGUACCUCAGCCGGAUCCCACAGGCCUGCCUUUCCUGGCAGCCUUAGCACCAAAACAGCGGGAGGACCCCUGCCUCACGUGGCCUGCCUCUGAAGGCAGACUGCAUGCCCAGGAACCUUUUUGGAAUGCACCAGAACAGACAGCUUUUCACCAAACCCCAAACUCGAUAAUCCUCUUUACUAGGCUUCAUUAUUAGAAGACUCAGGUUCUGAAGAAGGAACUUCCACCCACUCUAGGUCUUAGUAAGGCUUAACCUCCCAUUAGGCUUUCCAAAGCAACUGGGACAGUAGUCUCGGGCGUGUGGUACUGACCACAUACAUCAUACACAUAUAUAAAAGAGGAAGAUGCAACAAAUACUAAUGGUGAUUAUCUUUGGGAAGGGGAAUUAUGGGUAACUAAAUUUUUUACACCUUACUGUAUUUGCUAAAGUUUCUAUAUAAUAAGCAUUUUGUAUUCUGUAAAGAGUUAUGUUUUUAAAAAUAAAAAGUUCAAUCUGUCAGCUAAUUUCAGCCAGAAGCAAGCAUUUAGUAUCAGUGAUUCCAUAACCAGUGUUAGCACUGCCAGCAGCUGCCAGAACUUGCCCUGAGGAUGCACUGUGACACCCAAGUGGAGUGGUGCCCCGAAGUCCUCCCCCACAGCCGCUGAGACCAAGGUCCCGCCUUGUGCUCCAUGGUGCUUCAAAACUCAGAGAAACCCAGUACAAAUGAGGAUACUUUCAUACCUGUACUAACACCAGGAUUUUCAGCCAAACUCCUAAAAAGGAGCUUUUGAAAAACCUUGACCCUACAGCCCACCUGGGUAGACAGGGGAAUGUCCCCUUUAGUGGGGUCAGGUCGGCCAGCGCUGUUCACACAGGCUUCUGUCAGUAAGAGCGAGUCCCCAGCUGAGGAACUGCCUGGGACAUGAAUCUGUCCUGAGGCUCCAGUCAAAACCGUGGCUGAGAUCAACAUUCAGGAAAGGAGCCUAAGCAACACCCCUAUUCUCCUUACUCUGGACAUUUUGAUUCCCUAAAGGCUGAGGCGAAGUCUGGUCCCAGGAAAGCUACGGAUCUGGAAUCCCAAUGCCUCUGCCCUGCAGAACUUCCUGCCUUUGAAGAACCAAAGCUUUCAAAGCCCUUAGUCUUGUUAAGGGUGGAUGUAAAAAGUGGUCAUUUCUGAAAUGUUUCUGCAUUUUUGGUUUUUUAUUUUUUUUUAGCCAUUCUGCUAGCAGAUGGUCACAGCAGGACUGUGUCCCCGGAGUAACUUCUUCCAGACCUCAGCAGAGACCAGUUCCAGCUUUCCAGACAGAGCAGUGUGCUUCUUCCUUAGACAACAGGAACGGCUUCCCUCCUUGCCUUGGCUUUGAGGAGGUGCCGAGUCUAUUAGGUAGUUUUCCUUUGCCCCAAGCUGUCAGAAAUCCUUAACUUCUGGGUCAGUGUGCAUCUUCUAAAUUUUUUUUUCCAGACUUUUAUGUAACUGUAAUCCUUUAUCUUGUAUAGCUGCAAAUUCUUGGAAAGAAGUGGCAGGAUUAAUGUAAACAAAAAUACCUAUACCUCUGCCCGAUCCCAGCUCCUUCAGACCUCAUGGAAGAACCACCUACCAAAGUGUAGUGCUUCGAACUCAGAAAAACCCAACACAAAUACUAAAAGAUUUAUUGUAGAUUUUGUUACACAAUUAUGUUACAUGUUAUGAUACAAAUACAUCUGAAACAUUAACACAUAUGGGAACUUUUAAAUGAUUUAAUAUUCUUUUGCAAAAAGAUAAUUACUUUAAGCUUUCAUACCUGUAAUAAAUCGAUCUGUUCUCAUUGGGAUCAAAUCCUCCAUCCUGUAGAACUGUCACAGUCCACUGCUGAAUAAAUUUAUCCACCUGUCCACUG